UACGGGGGGAGCAAACGUUGUUCGGAAUCACUGGGCGUAAAGGGUGCGUAGGCGGUUUGCUAAGUUUGAUGUGAAAUCCCGGGGCUCAACCCUGGAAUUGCAUUGAAUACUGGCGGACUAGAGUCCUGGAGAGGAAACUGGAAUUUACGGUGUAGCAGUGAAAUGCGUAGAGAUCGUAAGGAAGACCAGUGGCGAAGGCGAGUUUCUGGACAGGUACUGACGCUGAGGCACGAAGGCCAGGGGAGCAAACGGG
rnacentral:rRNA from 1 species